rnacentral:rRNA from 1 species
GACGAACGCUGGCGGCGUGCUUAAACACAUGCAAGUCGAGCGGGUAAGGCCCUUUCGGGGGUACACGAGCGGCGAACGGGUGAGUAACACGUGGGGUGACCUGCCCUCAGCUCUGGGAUAAGCCUGGGGAAACCGGGUCUAAUACUGGAUAUGACUCCAUGACGCAUGUUGUGGGGUGGAAAGCCUUGUGCGGCUGAGGAUGGGGCCCGCGGCCUAUCAGCUUGUUGGUGGGGUGANGGCCUACCAAGGCGACGACGGGUAGCCGGCCUGAGAGGGCGACCGGCCACACUGGGACUGAGACACGGCCCAGACUCCUACGGGAGGCAGCGGUGGGGAAUCUUGCGCAAUGGGCGAAAGCCUGACGCAGCGACGUCCGCGUGAGGGAU